rnacentral:lncRNA from 1 species
CAAGGCGGAGGAUUAGCCUGUUGAGCCACGGUGCCGGCCCGAUUAAGUAAUCUUACAAGGUGAAGUGACAUCUCAGCUUCCACAGAAUGUGGCUGAGCUGUGUUUUAAACACUAAGACUUUUUUUGGCAUAAAAGUUUUUUCAUGGUCUUUCUUGCAUUGAGGCUAUUUAUCCUGUUUUGUGUAUUAAAGGCCCUCCAGGAUGCCAAAAUAAUGAAGGAGAUACGUGACUUCAUAUAACGCUUUACCCAGCUCUGUGUCUUCCUCAGGGAUGUUAAGGUCAAAAAGGGGCUUGUUUCAGUUCAAUCUGAAUCUCAGCAUGGAUAAGAAGGCAGGAAUUAUUGUGUUGUGGCCUAGACACAUUUGCUGAAGUUUCUAUAUGAAGAAACUAAGGUAAGGUCUCUGAAACCAUUCCAGUUGGUACUAUAGAUGAUUAUUCCAGAAAGAACUGUAGUUUCACUGUUUAUGCAUGUUAGCAGAACAAGCAGGAAUGGAAGAUAAUCCAUAUAGUGGUAUUAUUGGAAUCGCAUGAAUCUCUAUAGUCUUUCAUGCUAUGCAGUUUCAAAGAUGUAUUAUUAUGAUCAUUUUUCUCAGUUUGGCUCUCUAUGAUAUUUAGCAUUGCUGUUAUCACUAAUAUGUAGACUCACUACAUUCUGCCUAUGGAACCAUAUUGUAUUCCUGGCAUUUGUCUUAAAUAAUCUCUAGGAGCUGGUUUUGUGGCAUGGUGGGUAAAGCUUCUGGCUGCAGUGCUGGCAACCCAUGUGGGCAUAGGUUUGAGGCCUGGAUGCUCCACU